rnacentral:ncRNA from 1 species
AUAAAUACAAUGAAAAAGAGUAGUAGAGAAACAACCCUUACAAAGAGAGCCGGGGCAGCUGAAAACCGGUAAAGGGCUUUUUUGAAGGCGCUUUGGAGUGUCAGGAGGAAAACCGUUUAGACUGACAAGUCUUAAGGUGAGUAAAACCUGGUUUUUUAAGGUGGGCUUCGUGCCAAUCAGGGUGGAACCGCGGGUUGAUCCCGUCCCUGUU